rnacentral:rRNA from 1 species
GACAGAGGGUGCAAACGUUAUUCGGAAUUACUGGGCUUAAAGAGUGCGUAGGCGGCCUUGUAAGUAGGGUGUGAAAUCCCACAGCUCAACUGUGGAACUGCGCUCUAAACUACAUGGCUAGAGGGAUAUAGAGGUGAGCGGAACUGAUGGUGGAGCGGUGAAAUGCGUUGAUAUCAUCAGGAACACCGGAGGCGAAGGCGGCUCACUGGGUAUCUUCUGACGCUGAGGUACGAAAGCUAGGGGAGCGAACGGG